CCUACGGGGGGCAGCAGUGGGGAAUAUUGGACAAUGGGGGAAACCCUGAUCCAGCGACGCCGCGUGAGUGAAGAAGUAUUUCGGUAUGUAAAGCUCUAUCAGCAGGGAAGAAAAUGACGGUACCUGACUAAGAAGCCCCGGCUAACUACGUGCCAGCAGCCGCGGUAAUACGUAGGGGGCAAGCGUUAUCCGGAUUUACUGGGUGUAAAGGGAGCGUAGACGGCAGCACAAGUCUGAUGUGAAAUGUCGGGGCUUAACCCCAGAACUGCAUUGGAAACUGUACAGCUGGAGUGCAGGAGAGGUAAGUGGAAUUCCUAGUGUAGCGGUGAAAUGCGUAGAUAUUAGGAGGAACACCAGUGGCGAAGGCGGCUUACUGGACUGUAACUGACGUUGAGGCUCGAAAGCGUGGGGAGCAAACAGGAUUAGAUACCCCAGUAGUC
rnacentral:rRNA from 1 species